AAUAAUUUAGCAGAGGAUAGAUAAAAAUUCUUUGACUUCGAUCACGUCUUCAAUUUGCUGUAUAUGGUUAUGAAAAGACGGUGUAAAUGAUGCUUCAUGUGUAUGUGGGAUGUCACGGUAUUGUAGAAAUGCUUGCGCCGUCACUUUGUUGCUGGAAAGAAAACUUUCCUAUUUUAAAAUUCUGUUUUGACUGCCGGAAAAUGUUAACUACCAAGUCAUUGCGUCAAUUUAAACGCCCUAAAAAACGAUUGGUAGACCAAGAUAAAUUAUAAAAAGAAAACUAAGAAGUAUUAGUCCCACGUAAAUUUUUUCUAUUUUUUUUAUUCAUGCAUUUAUUUUUACUGUUCUGUUUUACCGCAGGAAUUAUCACUUUUUUUGUCGUGUACGUUCUAAGUAAAAGAUUCUUCUUUAGAUGGGCGUAAAUUUUCAAAACAAGUAAAAUAGAAAAUAUGUAGGAUAGUAUGUUUAACAUGUUCACGUAAAAUUUAUUUUCAGAUCUAAAAAAAUGAUGAUUUAACUUGGAAAUUGGAAAUAAGCAGAGAAAAUGAAGAAUGUAGCCAAUUUUCUAACUUCACUUAACACAUCCAUCGAAGCGAUAGACACAACAAAUGCAUCUACUGAAUGGGUGAAACUAUCCACUUCAUCCCCGGCCACAUCGACUUUGCCGCCAAACGUUCCGCAAAAUACUGGUUAUACAACGAUAGAACUUACUCUAAUUGUCUUAUUCUCAUUGAUUUUUGUGGUUGGUACAGCGGGAAAUGGUUUAAUAUUUCACUACUUUGGCAUCAAAAAACGAAGAAAUCGUUCAGUACCAGAAUUUCUAUUCAGUUGUUUAUCUAUGGUUGACUUCGGUGCUUCCAUUUUAAACCCAACUCUUUAUAUGUAUUGGAUGUUUACAAACUUUCAUUGGCAUAUGGGAUAUUGGGCGUGUAAGUUUCUGUUGCCAUUAGGUCCUAUCGCGACAACGUCAUCGGGUGGAAUUUUUAUCAUUAUAGCGUUUGACCGACAACGAACUAUUGUCCAUCCUUUUAAAGAUCAUUUUAAAACUCUGCAUAUUAAGAUAUGCAUGUUGGGAGUAUUGUUCUAUUCUGCAUUAUUGAACUUCCAUUAUGGAUUUAGUCUUUCUAUUAAUAAGAACCAUCAGUGCUUGGUGGACAACGUAAGAGCCGCCUCAUACAGCGUACCAACCAUCAUUUCUUUUCUCAUACAAGAUAUUACUUUGAUCUUUGUAUUUGCGUUUACUAACUGGCGCAUUUUCUCACAUCUAAACGCGGAGGAAAGUGUUCUUGGAGAACACUGGAAGAAACGAAAACGAGACAACGCUAAAGUAAUUCGUCUUCUAGUUGUCUUAGCAACAGUAUUUUUUGUAUUAACACUACCGAGAGACAUGUUUCAUUUAAUUCAUAUCAUUUCUUGGUUUGAUGGAAAUGGUAUCAAAGUAACUCCACUGACUUUGAAAAUUAACUCUUCUCUCAAAGCGCUUCACACCGCGAACUCGUGUGCAAACGUAUUUAUAUACUACAGAAUGCACAGUGGUUUCCGACAUUAUAUCAACCAGUGUUUCUGUUUUUGGGCAAGUUUUGCAAAAAACCGCGAUUUAUCAAUUUCUACGGUAACCGAGUCAUUUAUUAGAAGACUUCCUUCCUCGAGACGACAUCGCAGUUAUACAACAUCAACUGAUGUUGAGUUUGAACAACAUGACAGACUAUCUGAAGGUCGCAGGAGGGCUAAUACUGCAAACGCAAAGUUAUUAAGCGAUUUUGUUGUAGAUUUGUAAGAGACGGUGUAUAGUUUAGCUAAGUCUUGCGUUUUUAUUUUAUUCUAAUUUUUUAUUUGCAAAUUAUUUUGAGUUUCAGAAACACUAAUUGCUCCUUUUGCUUUGAUUUUUUUCACCUGACGUGAUGUUUAACAAUGGUAUAUAUAUAGUCCGAAUAGUUGUGUUUAGGCGAAAUAUAAUGAAAAUUUAUGAUUACGAAUACGUCGAAAAAAAAGCUAUUCCUUCUUUCUAUUCAAUAUUAUACCUUACCGCUUCAAAUAACGCAUCCUCGUCCCCAGGGUCUUGUGGCCCCUGAGCCGUUAUUUCGGAGUGGCCAACAACAAGGCAAAAUGCGCUGGGAACGAGGUUGCAAAUAACGGCAUUUUUAAUCUCUGGCGGGGAUAGAUAAAUUAUUUUUCCUGUGUACAAAUCAAUGCUAUUUAAUCUGUUAAUUGUAUGCGAAUGUAACAUUCUGUGUACGCCAUGCAAUGCUGCUUAUUAAAACCAUUCACUGAUUUUAUGAAAAGGAUGGUUUAGGAAAACACUGCUUUUAAAAAAACUUGAUGUUAAUUUAUAGGGGUGCAGUACAGUUGCUUUAUUAUUAGGUACAACUGCACAGAGGAAGAUGUUAAAAUACAAUAAAAACAUAGAAGUGAUGCACAAUACAAAAUAAAUUCCAAAUCCUCUGCGAUGUCCCCAAAUUGCUUCAACGGAGAUUUACUUUUCUGUUUUAAAUCAUAGGAUUAGCACAUCAAUUUGAAAGUAUUUGCAGAUAACUACUGACUUCUUUAUAUUUUAACGAAAAAUUAGUGGGUGGGUGGGGCAAGUAUACUUCCGACCCUUUGGCGUCACCUUUCCUAGAAAGUGGUGUGUACUGUGACCCUGGCUUAUAAAAAUGAAGCGCAAGAUAAGCUAUAUUUAACUAUGUUGCAUAUUUCCCGAAAAGUCUGCGUACUAAGAAGCAUUCAAAAAAAUUUUUUUUGGUGCAUGUACAGUAAAAAUUAAACUUAUAUUUCUCCUUACAAAAAUUUGUCAACCCCUGUGAUGAGGGCACGUAGACGUAGUAAUAUUUAUUUAUUUAUUAUACUUAGGUAAUCAAAAGAAUACUCGACAGAGACAUGAAUAUAGGUGCAAAUAACACUGUAAAUAGUGUAUACUUAAGAAAUAAUGUGUAAAUAAAAAUAAAUAUCAUAAAUAAAAAUAUCUACUAUUAUAUAUAUAUCUAACGACAUAAUAAAGUAAAAUUUAAAGAAACAUACUAGUUGUUAUGCUUGUUUUUCGUUGAUCUUGAUGUUAUCGUCGAUAACAACCUAUCGCUGAUACACUCAACGCCGUUAGCUCCUGUUUUUCUAUUUGUUUUAAAUUUUACGUCAAAGUAUAAAAGAAGCUGGUACCUAGAUUGUCGAUUAUUUUUCACAUAGGAUAACUUUUUGCAGCCUCGUCCCAGAGGUUCUUGCCUUUUUAAACUCGAGGUCAGCGAAAGCGCUAGCGGCUUUGACAUUAGACACUUUUGAUACCCUGGGGAUGAGGACGAACUUUUUGCGCUUGUAUUUUACAACUUUCAAGUUAAUACAUCUAUUUCGAAGUAAAUAAAACGAGUCCCAGAGUGCACUUUUUUAUAUAAGAACGUCUAAAUUUUCAGUUGGAUCUGCUCAUUUUUUUAUACUUAUAUGGUACUUGUUUCAUAACAUCCACAUAAAAAUGUUUUAUGUGUAUUCACCUCAAGAACCAACGCUAAACUUCAACAAAUAAGACGAGGAACUUUUGCAGUAAACAAUAAAAGCUAUGGCGCAGUUAAAAAAUUUUGGGAUGCCGGUGCGCUGUUUUGAGAAGAAGGAGGAGAAAACGAUUUUUACUUGAGAAAUUGUAAAGACAAAGAAAAAUG